rnacentral:lncRNA from 1 species
CUUGUAAGAGAAAUGGGUGAACAGGAAGCAUCAGCACCCAAAAUGAAGGAAGAAUCAGAAGAGAGGAAAGAAAUUCCUCCCGUUGUCCAAGAAAACACUACAGGAGUGUUCUUGUUCACGAAAGGCCCAGAUGAAAUGAAGGAAGAACCAAAGGAAGGAUCCCAAAAGAACUGGGAGUCACAUUGGCAGGAAUUCAUGAACACGGUGGAGUCUCGGUGCCACCAAACUGAUGGGUCAAGGCCACCUCAUCCUUGGCCGGAGGAGGACACAAAGGCAUUUCAGACCUCCUUGGAAGGAGCGGCUGAUGGCAUCUCUCAGUCAAGAGGAGAGAAUGUAGUCCAAAACCAUUGUAAUGAUGGCUCGGUGGCUGACGAAAGCCAGGUAUUUCACCUGAAAGUUAAGGAUGAGGAGGAUGAAGAAGAGGCGGAGCAAUUCAAUCUGUUGGGCUGCCAAAGUGCCAAUGGAUCUCAAGAGGUCAUGGCUGGACUUUGAGAAAUGGGCUUUACAUAGGCCAUAGGAGCUGUUGAUGGAUGCCACUCCAUGGUUGUGUAACGCAGGGAGGUUAAUUCAUCAAUCGAAAAAACAGUUAUUCCAUCUUGCUACAGGGAACUACAGAUCACAAAGACCACUUCCUUGAUAUAGAGGAAGACACGGCUGAGCCAGCAGCUAGAGAAGGCCGUCACUCAGCAAGGCCUCCGCGCAGGAUUGCCUAUUGGAGCGGCAAGGAGAUCAAUGCUCUCCUGGAUUACAUCCUGCGGUGCCAGAAGCUGUAUGUGCAGAGGGUGAUGGCAAGCACCAACUUGCGCACCAGAAACGUGUGGAUCGGGGCUUCCAGGGCCAUGGCCUUACUUGGCCUGAACAGAACCCCUGACCAGUGCCACACUAAAUUUAAGGCAUUGAAAUCAGCGUUCUAUCGGGCCAUGGAACGCCACGGUGGAGUGGUGCCACGGAAGAUGCAGCCACCCUUCUUUGCGAAGCUCCACCAGCUCUGGGAGAUAGGAGGCAGGGCAGACUGGAGAGACCGGAGGCCUGUUGCAGAUGCAUAUGAUCUCAAGGGGGGAGCAGGAGAUUCCAGUCUGAGUGGAGAGGAAAGUGGUGAGGAGGAGAGGGGCCCCAUUGCUCCUGCGCCAGGGCAAGCACACCAUGCAGCUGAACAUGGAGCUGUCCAGGAAGCAGCUGGUCUGCGCCAACUACAGCGACAGCACAUGGCAUUGGAGCAGCGUGUGAGUGCGAUCGAGAACACAUUUUCCAGGCUACAGGCAAACAUUCAGGAACUCCUUGCCCGUCUCCCUGCGCUACCCCCACCCUCUCCCCAAAACUAA